ACAUGCUUACAACAUAGUGUUAAUGCAUCAGAUUCCAUGAGAGCUAUGUAGUUAAGCAUGCUCAGGCUAGAGUAGUACUAGGAUGGGUGACCUCCUGGGAAGUCUUAGUGUUUUACAUGCC
rnacentral:rRNA from 1 species